rnacentral:sRNA from 1 species
UUAACUAUGCUUUGAAUUACAGAUUGGAGUUUGUUUUUCAAGCAUCAUCACCCUGUCUGUCAUCUCUUGGUUGGCAACUAUAGAUGUCAUCUUCUUCUGAGGAAUGAUGACCUUCCAGUGAAGAUAUCGAAUUCUCAGCGAGUCCUCCAGCAUCGUGACUGCCUGUGGUUGCAAUGCUCCCCACCUUGGCAAUGGACUGAACCUCUGAACCUUGAGUUUCUCAGGCAUAACCUACGCCUCCAGGGAGACCAAACCCAGCUGCAUCGGCAGCUUGUGGAUCUGUAAGGGAAGCCAAAUAUGAGCCUCAUCAUUGAUUAGAAACUCCUGGUUAGUUAGCCACAUAAGAAAAAUCAAAA